rnacentral:tRNA from 1 species
GCCUUGAGACAGAGUGGAUAAUGCGCAGGCCUUGAGAGCCUGUGGUCCUGUAGGACCGCAUGGGUUCGAAUCCCAUUCCCGGCG